AAAGCAAGUUGGAUAGUUACCCCUCGCUUUUUUAUAAAGAUGAGGGGAGGAAAGUCCGAGCUCCUGCAUUCGUUUUUUAACGGAUGUAAAAAUGACAGUCGAUAACGUCGACCAAGGGAAACCUUAGGGAAAGUGCCACAGAGACAAUACUAACCAGUGCCUUGCACUGGAAAUUCCAAAACCCAAUUUUCAAAUUUCAAACAAAUUCCAAAGCACAAAAAUUCAAACUCCAAAUAAUUUGGUUUUGAAAAUGAGAUUUGUGAUUUGUUUGGGAUUUGGGAUUUGGUGCUUGGAGCUUCCGUUGCAGGGCAUUGGCAAAAGGUGAAAAGUUAAAUGAGGUUUUUCGCAAGAAAUGCCACAUUUUUUCCUUACCGGCAACGGUAAAGCGAUGGUAAACCCUGUCAGGAGCAAGAGCAAAGUUCGCGCUUCGCGCGAAUUAAAAGUAGCUCGCUUGACCCCAUGAGCAAUUUUGGGGCUAGAUAGAUUACUAUCCAUCCGUUUUGCAAAAGGCGGAGGACAGAACUCGGCUUAUAGACUUGCUUUGAUC
rnacentral:RNase_P_RNA from 1 species